GAUGAAGAACGUAGCGAAAUGCGAUAAGUAAUGCGAAUUGCAGAAUUUCCGUGAGUCAUCGAAUCUUUGAACGCACAUUGCGCCCACUGGUAUUCCGGUGGGCAUGCCUGUUCGAGCGUCAUUAUCCUCCCUCAAACCCCGGGUUUGGUGUUGGACCGAAGUUGUGUGAACAACUGGUCUAAAAAACAAUGACGGCGUCCGUGGGACCCUCGGUGCAACGAGCUUUUAGGAGCAUGCGCCGAGUUGCAAGGACCUUCCGGGCCGGUCUCCUUUUACUAUUUUACAAGGUUGACCUCGGAUCAGGUAGGAAUACCCGCUGAACUUAAGCAUAUCAAUAAGCGGAGGA
rnacentral:misc_RNA from 1 species